rnacentral:rRNA from 1 species
GACGAACGCUGGCGGCGUGCUUAACACAUGCCAGUCGAACGGAAAGGCCCUGCUUUUGUGGGGUGCUCGAGUGGCGAACGGGUGAGUAACACGUGAGUAACCUGCCCUUGACUUUGGGAUAACUUCAGGAAACUGGGGCUAAUACCGGAUAGGAGCUCCUGCUGCAUGGUGGGGGUUGGAAAGUUUCGGCGGUUGGGGAUGGACUCGCGGCUUAUCAGCUUGUUGGUGGGGUAGUGGCUUACCAAGGCUUUGACGGGUAUCCGGCCUGAGAGGGUGACCGGCUACAUUGGGACUGAGAUACGGCCCAGACUCCUACGGGGGGCAGCAGUGGGGAAUAUUGCACAAUGGGCGGAAGCCUGAUGAAGCAACGCCGCGUGCGGGAUGACGGCCUUCGGGUUGUAAACCGCUUUCGCCUGUGACGAAGCGUGAGUGACGGUAAUGGGUAAAGAAGCACCGGCUAACUACGUG